UACGAAGGGGCUAGCGUUGUUCGGAAUUACUGGGCGUAAAGCGUAUGCAGGCGGAUCGUUAAGUCGGGGGUGAAAUCCCGAGGCUCAACCUCGGAACUGCCUUCGAUACUGGCGAUCUUGAGUCCGGGAGAGGUGAGUGGAACUCCGAGUGUAGAGGUGAAAUUCGUAGAUAUUCGGAAGAACACCAGUGGCGAAGGCGGCUCACUGGCCCGGUACUGACGCUGAGAUACGAAAGCGUGGGGAGCAAACAGG
rnacentral:rRNA from 1 species